rnacentral:misc_RNA from 1 species
GAUGAAGAACGCAUCGAAAUGCGAUACUUGGUGUGAAUUGCAGAAUCCCGUGAACCAUCGAGUCUUUGAACGCAAGUUGCGCCCGAAGCCAUUAGGCCGAGGGCACGCCUGCCUGGGCGUCACACGUCGUUGCCCCCCCAUCUACUCCUUCGGGAUUGCGGGGGGCGGAUGAUGGCCUCCCGUGCGCCUCGUCGCGCGGUUGGCAUAAAUGCCAAGUCCUCGGCGACGCACGCCACGACAAUCGGUGGUUGCGAAACCUCGGUUGCCCGUCGUGUGCGGUCGUCGCGCAUCGAGGGCUCGAAAAAAUUGCCGGGCUCCGGCUCGGCUUUCAACGCGACCCCAGGUCAGGCGGGGUUACCCGCUGAAUUUAAGCAUAUCAAUAAGCGGAGGA